UACAGAGGGGGCGAGCGUUGUUCGGAAUUACUGGGCGUAAAGGGCUCGUAGGCGGCCAACUAAGUCGGACGUGAAAUCCCUCAGCUUAACUGGGGAACUGCGUCUGAUACUGGAUGGCUUGGAUUUGGGAGAGGGAUGCGGAAUUCCAGGUGUAGCGGUGAAAUGCGUAGAUAUCUGGAGGAACACCGGUGGCGAAGGCGGCAUCCUGGACCAACAUUGACGCUGAGGAGCGAAAGCCAGGGGAGCAAGCGGG
rnacentral:rRNA from 1 species